rnacentral:lncRNA from 1 species
UAGAUUAAAGUUCUUAACAAAAAACUUCCCUUGGAGCAAAAUCAAGGCAUCAUGUAAUCUUAUGGAGUUGACUUGUAUCAUUCACAAGCUUUGAUCUCAAUCUUUUUAUGGAAUACUACUUUCAGAUCUAUUAAGUAACACUGUCGGACAUAGAGCAUCGAUACAACAAAUAGCCUUGACGCAAGGGAAAAACAUUAUGUUAAUCAAUUUAUCUGGGUUAUAGCCUUUCUUUCCUUUUAGUUUUUAUGAGAAAUGAGAAUGUUAUCAUUAUCGUGUCCG